rnacentral:tRNA from 13 species
CUAAAAAUUAGUUAAUCUAAAUAACGUUAGUUUGUCAAACUAAAAUAAUCUAUCCUGAUAUUUUUA